GCAGCUGAAGUGCGCUUCCCAGGCAGGCCUGACAGAGGUUCAGUGCCUUCCCUCCGCCUCCUCUGCCAUGUACCCAGCUUCACGUCCCAAGUCUUGGCUGUGGACUCAGGAACAAAAAUCACUUCUGCAACAACUCACUUGAAUGUUUUUGAUGCACGCGUGACCAGAAGAAAAGGGAAUGGUGAAAUCAGUGAGACAAGACCUGUUUGGGUGGCAGAAGUUCUCUCCUGGUUCUGCAGACAUUUCUACUCCAACUGCCAUGGACAAAACCACGUUUGGAGACACCAGUAUAGACAGAGCAGCACUUGUUCAUUGGGAUUUCCUUCCUUUGACGAUUUCCAGAUAAUAAAAGUUGAGAGAUUAAAGGGAACCUUUUUAUUCUCUGUAUAGUUCUGCCAAUUAACCACAAUUACAUCCAAAAGAAAAAAAAGAUCACUAGACUUUUUAGCAGCUUUUAUGGCCUUGCCUCAAGCUAUUUGCUCACUCCGGUUCUCAAAACACCAUCUCCAGGCAGCAAGAAAACAAGCAGCAGGCACACCGUAAGCAGCACACUUUUCCUUCAGGUACUCAUCCACAUGUCAAGCAGACCAUUUAGGAGAAAAAUAACUUCCUUCUUCAUAUUUUUUCAGUGGCAUUACAUUUCAUUUGUGCUUGCCCAGACUUGUAUGUCAGCGGCUAAUAUAGUGGAGGCACUUUUGCGUGGCAUUUUAAGGAGAACAGAUACUACAGAACAAUGAACAAUAAUCAGGAUGUCUUAAAU
rnacentral:lncRNA from 1 species